rnacentral:lncRNA from 1 species
GAGGCUCCCGGCAAUGCAAGGUCCGUGGAGGGUUAAUGUAUGCUCGCUUGCCUUCAUUUUAAAGAGAUUGUUUUCGAGACUCAAACCCUGAGUGACAAAGAAGCUGUACCAAACUGUGAACAUACAUACAAAUGGAAGCCCUAUAAUCCACACUUCAAUGUGCAUGUUGCGAAAUGCACACCAACACAGACACAAACACAAGAAGAAUCAGCAGAAUUGACACCAGAAUCAUGAGACAUGCUGCCUUAAUCUGAGAAAGUUGUAGAUCCACUAACUUAUUGCUAGCAAAUUAGGUCAGUCUCUGUCUAAAUUCAACUUCCUGAAUUCCAAAGUUCAUAUCCACGGAUUAUUUGUACAGAUUUCUCUGUUUGCAGCAAUUGCAAGAAUCUUAUUCAACCCUAACACAAAAGAAACAAGACGAGAAAGAUCCAAGACGAAGCCUUUACCAGCACAAGGAAGGGGGGAAGCCUUUACUAGAGUAGCCAAGACAGUUUUCGAAGCCUCUCCCACCCGCCGCCCCUCGUCCGCGCCGCCCCCCUCAGCCUUCCGCUGCUGGCCGCCGCGGCGAUCGCCUUCGAGGAAAUCGGAGCCAUACUCGUCGCUGAUGAGCAAGUAAUGGGAAGAGACGCCGGCAGAGACACCCUACGGUGUCGACGCCCAAUUUAGGCUGCUAUUAAUAGGCCGACCCAAAAGCCUAUUGGGCCAAUGUUUCGAUGAGAGGCCCACUAAAUCCAUGCCUCUACAAUCAGGAGAAAUAAGGAUAGGAAUUAAUGCUGCAUACUAGAAUUUAAAAUUCAUGAAAUCUAAAGUUAAAUACUACUACCUAAAAUUAAUAUACAUAGUAAAUGUGAUGAUUUUUUUGAAUAAAGUAUUUUCAUCGAUAGUA